CUAAGCAACACUGAAGUUUUAUCAAGGAAGCUUCUACCAACAAUAGACCGUGGUUUGCACACUGCUCGUGAACAUUUACUGACAAUUUGUAUUGCAGCAGGUGGCAAAAUACAAUAUGUGAUAUGGCUCCUGUCUUCUGCCAGAAUGCAUUAUGAGUAACCAGCAAAUUUGGGCAUUUGGAUUUGAAAAGAAGUUAUCUGCUGAAAUUCAAAGAUUAGCCAGAGGCUUUCGGAACAUCAGAUAGCACUGGAUACAGGGACUGAUGAUGAAGUCAUCUUCAGAGGAGCCUAAGGAACUAACUGCUGCUUUGUAUAUUUGGAUUUUUUAAAAUGACUCCAUGGUGCCUCACCAUUUCUUAGUUGAGUGUACAUUAGUGGAACACAAGCCAUUCCCAUGUAGGUAUGUGUGAUGUCUCCUCACCUAUGGGGGGGUCUCAGUUCUAUAUCAAAGAAGUGACAAGUGACUUCAGCUCUGUAAGACUGUUAUGGUGAGAAAAUGAUUUUUCUUUUUCUUUUUUUUUGCCAUUGUUCUUAUUUUGUUUCUCUUUCAGUUUUGUUUGUUUUCCAGUUUCUCUAAAUCAAUAGAAUUAAACAGAACUUGAGCCUGAAAAUCAGCCAUUUUCAUCAAAAAUGUUUCCAUAGCACCUCAGAGUUCUGGCUUUGGUAUGUGGAUGUUCUGUAGGAUGGCAUAGACUGGAGCUCCUGCAGCGUGGAGCUCAUUUUCUACUGGGCAGUGUUCAGCUGGGAAGCUCACUGUGUGCCUGUAGAUGGAAAAAGAACACAAGCUAUUGGAAAUACCAUUUGCUGAGGUGUUGCAAUAACUUAAAGAAUAACUCCCUUUUAUGUUUUGGCUUAUCCGUUUUCAUUUCCACGCUUUUAUACUUAGCAGUCAAAAAGAAAUCAGAUCUUAUCCACCAAAUGCAAACACUUCCUAGAGUAGGAAUUAGAACAGAAGUUAAUUUACUUGUGUAAAAAUUAAUUUCCUCUGAAAAUUUUCAACUACCCAAAGUAUUAAAAUUUCCAAAUAUGUAUAUUUUCUGCUUUCCUCCUGCUUAAAAACCUGCUUUACUGUUUGUUAAUGAAUGAAAAGGAUCAGUGUGGGCAGCAAUGUGCUAAUAAAAUGAAACCAGUUAAACCACCGUUCUAUUUUUCCAUUCUUUCCCAUGUUAAUGCUGCUUUGUACUCAAAUGAUACUGUUGGAAAAAGCUGAAACCAUCUUCAAGCGAUUUGAAAUUUGCAUCUCUCAUGGAAAAUGAUAAACUGAUGGUAACAUUAUUUACAAUGAAGAAAAUAGUUGUGGUUGUGCUGAGAUUUAAGAAAAGUAUUUCCAACUUCACUUACUUUUUUCCCUAACGUUUUUUUCUAGCAGAUGGACAAUUGCACAGAUCUGAAAAGCAAAAAGAAGGAAGUGCAUCCCUACAGCCAGUGGUAUCACAAAUGAAGCCUUAGCAGGGCAGGCUCUCAUGUGAAUAUUAUGAAGGCUUUCAAACCAGACCGAUUGCUUCUAGCCCCACCAAAAGAACUGCUGCCUGGCCAAGAAGAGCUGGAGCUCUGCUAAUGCAGCUGCACUUAAGGAGGAGACCUCAUGCCUAGGAGGAUGGAUGCUCUCCUGGAAAAAGAUAAGAUUCUGGCUUUCCUUACACGUGUAUCGCUUGGCUGCACUCAUUGCAAAGGAGCCCUGCGAGGAAAGAUGCUGGGUGGAAACGGAUAGAACGUGGUCAGGAGGUUCGUAAGGAUUAUCUUAGUUGUUUUGUUUUGUUUUGUU